CCGGCUGCUCCGGCUUCUCCAGAUCUCAGCAAGUUCCGGGGGCCGGUCUCCGCGGCCAGGCUCUCGGCGUCGAUAAAGAUUGGAGGGUCCUGGCCACCACAAAGACGACAGGCGUGAGCCGCCGGCGUGUGCUUGGAACCGCAGCGUGCGGCGCGCGGGCUCAGUGGCCGUGUGGCCGCAGCGCUCAGAGUCUGGAGGAAGAGGCUCGGGAGCAGAGAAACGCCGCCGGACAGAGAGGCACCCCGGGGCUCCGUCCCAGGUUUGCUUCUCAUCGGGAGGAGUGGUCUUGACCAAAUGAUUCCUCCCCUUCAUCCAAUAAUAAGAGCAGGGAAUUUGCUGUGUGCCACGAACAAUGCCAAGGACUUAAUGUGCCGGGUCUCAGGAGAACUGAGCUAUUCAGGAGGUCAGAGCUUCUCCAGUGAUGGAUUCUGGAGAGAGGAGGCCAGUGGAGCAGGAAGAAGACCUUGCCCCCCUACACUAGAUCGGGAUGGAUGUUCCUAAAGGAGUAGAAAAGGGAGACCCUCAGGGUUCAGUCUAACCUCACUGCUUCAGCUGCAGCCACUGUCACUUGCCAGAUUCCACAGCUACCUUUCUCAGAAUAAGGACAUUUCCUGUUGAAGACUGUGGGAUGCUGCCCCUCAUUUCUCUCUUUCUGGAUGCUCAACACUCCUGUGCAAGUCUGACAGGACCCAACCUGACCUGAGGGUGAUGGGCUAGACUGGACUCACCACCUCAAUUCUUCCCCAGGACAGAGUCAUGACCACUAACCCAAUCCCAGAGUCCCUGAGAGGGUGCUGCCCAAGGAAGCAGCAUCGGUCUGUGCUGUGUGCUCCACAUUCCAGAAGCAAAUUUCUCUUCCAGUUUUACUUUAGCUGACUCUGAUUUUAAAACGUGACUUUGAGUCCUCAGAACAAUGAGUUGCAUAAUUUGGAGGCAUAUGUAGUAGACCGGAUGUGUGACCCCACCCCUAAUGUGUCAUGCCCUGACUGACUGAGCUGUUCUCUUCUCACAGGAAGGUGAGCCACACAGGAUGGUGACUGCAUGGCAGGCCACUUUAAAAUAGUUUCUGUAAUUGAAAAUGUUAUAAAGCCACCUGGUUAAAAAGAAAUUCAAGCACUAGAGAAAAGUAGACAGUGAAGAUUCAUUUCCGUCACCCCUCUCCAGAAAUCAUCUCUGCCUGCUCAUGACAGAAACGUCCCAUCAUUGAGCUCUUCUGCCAGACAGGCCUGGAUUUCCCAUGCCUCAACAAGCCCUGUGAAUAUCUUCUCUCUCUCUUUUUUUUUUCCCUCAAAUUCUUAUUCUUUGGCCAAUUUAGAUUCUGUUUUGGGGUAUUCUGAAGUUUCGCUUUUCACAGUGUGCUUCAGGGGGAUCCCCCCAGCAAGGCAGGAAGCGUGGUGUGGUGCACAUUGACAGGAAGCUGGCAGACAAGAACAGCUCUGGGAGGCUACUGACUUCAGCCUUGUCCCCUAGCUAGUCUCUUGCACACGUGGUCUCUGGCAAGAGGACGCCCACUUCUGGGUGGGGCAGAAUGAGGGAGACUUGCUCACAAGGAGGAUGUGCUGCCGCCACCUGGGAGGGAAAGAUUGUGGAGAAGCUGUCGGGGAAACUGCUAGGGAGGUCAGGAGGGAGGGCAGACUGUACCCCUCCCCCGCCCUCUGUAAGUACCCCCGUGGAAGGAACCUAACAAUCUCCUGAACUUCUGUCUCAGUUUCUGAUCUGUAAGGAUUAAUGGUGCCUUAGAGGUGGCUGUGCAGGUGGAGUAGAUAACUGACAUGAAAAUGGGAUGGUUUGAUUCUUCUGUUUACAUCCAUUUAUCUCUUUUCUCUUCCUAUUUCGCCUUCCUCUUUUUCAUCUCAUUCCCCUGGAUCUGAAGAGAAACCAUCAGCAAUGGAGAAACAGACAUAGACAACAGACCUAUGGACAUGGAAGGAAGAGAGGAGGGAGAACGGGAGAUGUAUGGAGAGAGUAACAGAAAUUUACAAUAUUGUGUGUAAAAUAGAUGCUGCUGCUGCUGCUAAGUAGCUUCAGUCGUGUCCGACUCUGUGCGACCCCAUAGACGGCAGCCCACUAGGCUCCCCUGUCCCUGGGAUUCUCCAGGCAAGACACUGGAGUGGGUUGCCAUUUCCUUCUCCAGUGUAAAAUAGAUAGCCAAUGGGAAUUUUCUGUAUGACUCAGGGAACUUAAACAGGGGCUCUGUGACAGGAUGAAGGGUGAGAUGGGGAGGGAGAUGGGAGAAGGGUCUGGGAGGGAGGGGACAUGGGUGUACUAUGGCUGAUUCUUAUUGAUGUAUGAUAGAAAGCCACAAAAUUCUGUAAAGCAAUUAUCCUUCAAUUAAAAAACUUAUAUAUAUAUAUAUAAAAGAAUCCCCUUUCCAAUGCAGGAGACCUGGGUUCCGUCCCUAGCUGGAGAACUAAGAUACCACCUGUGGCAGACCAAGACCAUGAGGGGCAACGAAAGAUCCCAACUGUUGCAACUAAGACCUGACACAGCCAAUGAAUAAAUAAAUACUUUUAAAAAAAGCA
rnacentral:lncRNA from 1 species